AACGAACGCUGGCGGCAGGCUUAACACAUGCAAGUCGAACGCAUCGCAAGAUGAGUGGCAGACGGGUGAGUAACGCGUGGGAACAUACCCUUUUCUACGGAAUAGCUCUGGGAAACUGGAAUUAAUACCGUAUACGCCCUACGGGGGAAAGAUUUAUCGGGGAAGGAUUGGCCCGCGUUGGAUUAGCUAGUUGGUGGGGUAAAGGCCUACCAAGGCGACGAUCCAUAGCUGGUCUGAGAGGAUGAUCAGCCACAUUGGGACUGAGACACGGCCCAAACUCCUACGGGAGGCAGCAGUGGGGAAUAUUGGACAAUGGGCGCAAGCCUGAUCCAGCCAUGCCGCGUGAGUGAUGAAGGCCUUAGGGUUGUAAAGCUCUUUCACCGAUGAAGAUAAUGACGGUAGUCGGAGAAGAAGCCCCGGCUAACUUCGUGCCAGCCGCCGCAGUAACAC
rnacentral:rRNA from 1 species